rnacentral:rRNA from 1 species
UACGUAGGGCGCAAGCGUUAUCCGGAAUUAUUGGGCGUAAAGAGCUCGUAGGCGGUUUGUCGCGUCUGCCGUGAAAGUCCGGGGCUCAACUCCGGAUCUGCGGUGGGUACGGGCAGACUAGAGUGAUGUAGGGGAGACUGGAAUUCCUGGUGUAGCGGUGAAAUGCGCAGAUAUCAGGAGGAACACCGAUGGCGAAGGCAGGUCUCUGGGCAUUAACUGACGCUGAGGCGCGAAAGCGUGGGGAGCGAACCGG